AGAUGUAAGUAGGUGGGAAAGCGUUUCCAGGGGGGCUGCGGCACGAGUCGGCCGUCAUCUUAAACAUGGUCGCCAGCCCUUUCCGCUCGUGGAGCGCCCGCCUCGCUUGGCUUUGACGAUCUCGGAGGUACUGUGCUCUCUCGGUUCCCCUCGUUUUAGAUUCCACUCGGCAAUCCAGGGGCGAGCUCGGUGCAUGGCCGACGCUGAUGGAGAGGCCCGGGAAGCCCCCAAGGCGGAGGAGAAGCCGCAGAUAGAGCCUCUGCGGCUUCCGACGCCGGAGGAGAUACGAGGGCAGGACAUCUGGAACAACUGCGCCGUCCGUAGCGUCGUCAGCGGCGUCAUGGGUGGUGGACUUGGUUUAUUCAUGGGCUUGUUCCUUGGAGCUCUGGAUAAUCCUAUAAUGCAGGAUGAGAUGACUACAAAGCAGCAAUUCAUAUAUACCGCAAAACAAAUGGGCCGGAGGAGCUAUAGCUCUGCAAAAGCAUUUGCCGUCAUGGGCUUCGUUUUCUCAGCUGCUGAAUGUGUUAUAGAGAAGGCUCGAGCGAAACAUGACACUACAAACACAGUUGUUGCUGGUUGUGUUACCGGUGGGGCUAUAUCUGCAAGAGAGUUGGCGGGCGAGCCUUGGUACAACAGUAAGGUUGCUCAUUUGCGACUUGGGAGAUCAGGGUUUGAGUCAUGGAAACAGUCUCUUUAAAUAUUUAAAGGCAAGGCUGCGUACAUUGAUCCUCUCCAGACCCUGCAUUGGCGGGAGCCUCAUGCAUUGGGUGGUCCGAAGGCUGCUUGUGUUGGUUGUGCAGGUUUUGCAGCGUUCUCAGUUGCAAUCGAAAAGUUCUUUGAUCGGCAUUCUUAAUCUUCAACAUUUGGUUUAUUACAUAGGUUCUAUUGCCCAAAUUAGUGGUGGUGGAGUAUCUACACCUCCAACUUCCAGAAAAUUUUAACAAAUCAUAUCUUCUGAUGUUUUCAUCAUCCUUUGAUUUCAUCCCACCAUAUUGAGAUGUAUCAAUAUCUAUUCUUUUACAUCUUGACAAAUUGAGUUUGUGGCUUCUUAUUGGCCUUUUAUACACUGGAAUAAUUGGUGUUCUGCCUCA